GAUGUUGUUCAUGUUUUGGCAACGCUUUUGAUCUUUCUGAAACGAUAAUCCGUGGCUGUAGGUGUUAGUUUAGGGUUGUUUCCUGAUUGGUCCAUGCAUAUUGCCAUGCUAGCCUCUGAUUGGUCCAAUUUGUUUGACUAAACUUUGACCGUGCCAAGUAGGAUUAAUGAAACGCUAGCAUUUUAAAUUCACUCCCACUUUGAUCCUCAGCCAUGCCAAAUAAUUCAAAUGCUCAUUCAUUUUUCUCUUUUCCCUCCUUUGCCAU
rnacentral:lncRNA from 1 species